rnacentral:misc_RNA from 1 species
AGCAGCCGCGGUAAUUCCAGCUCCAAUAGCGUAUAUUAAAGUUGUUGCAGUUAAAAAGCUCGUAGUUGAAUUUCGGGAUCAGUUGAUCGGUCGUGCCUCGGUACGUACUGGUCAAAUUGAUUCCUACCUUCUGACGAACCACGAUGUCAUUAAUUUGAUGUCGCGGGAAAUCAGGACUGUUACUUUGAAAAAAUUAGAGUGUUUAAAGCAGGCUCGCGCUUGAAUACAUUAGCAUGGAAUAAUGAAAUAGGACGUUUGAUUCUAUUUUGUUGGUUUCUAGGAUCGACGUAAUGAUUAAUAGGGAUAGUUGGGGGCAUUAGUAUUCAAUUGUCAGAGGUGAAAUUCUUGGAUUUAUUGAAGACUAACUACUGCGAAAGCAUUUGCCAAGGAUGUUUUCAUUAAUCAAGAACGAAAGUUAGGGAUCGAAGACGAUCAGAUACCGUCGUAGUCUUAACCAUAAACUAUGCCGACUAGGGAUCGGAUGAUGUUAAUUUUUUAAUGUACUCAUUCGGCGUCCCG